GCUGAAGUAGCUCAGUUGGUUAGAGCAGGCGUUUCAUACGCGCCGGGUCGGGGGUUCAACUCCCUCCUUCAGCACCA
rnacentral:tRNA from 1 species